rnacentral:lncRNA from 1 species
ACCUCCUGUGCUCAGCACCAACAGGUACACCAAAUCCAGAAGAAGAUGAUGAAAAUCAUGACCCAAGGAGAGGUGCUGACAAAUGCUUUGAAAGAAGGGGUUCAUAAAUUGAUUCCAGGCAGCACUGGAAAAACAUAGAAAAGCCUUGCCAGUCUAUUUAUCCCCUUUAUGAUGUUCUCAUUAGAAAAGUAAAAAUGCUGAAGAAGCCCUAGUCUGAAUUGGGUAAAGGUAGUAGCUCUGGAAAAGCCACUGGGGAUGAGACAGGUGCUAAAGAUGUAUAAGCUGAUGAAUAUAAACCACCAGUCCAAGAAUGUGUUUAA